rnacentral:lncRNA from 1 species
UGAAGUUGUUCAAUUGACUUUUUUUGUGAAGUUACCAUACAUCUAAUAAUAAUGCGCCACGUGUCAUGUGUGCUGAUUGUUGCAUAGUAUGUGAUGUGCAUUUGCUCAAUAUGUUCCACCGUAAACUAGUUUUAUUAGAUUUUUUGAACUAUCGGAUUAAGCACCUCACUAGUGUUAUUGUGUUGAUUUUCACACUAUAUUUAUUUCCUUUCUCUUUUUGACUUUUUCUUCCUUCUAUUUCAACAACACAUUUAUUCCAAUUUAUUUAUUUUUUUAGAUCCUAACUAAUUAAUUUUGAUUAUUCUUUCAUAAACGUCCACCAUAUCCACCACCAUCUGCACGACGGUCGCCGCCUCCGCCGUAUCCCCCACCACCGCCGCUGCUCUCGGUAGUCCCAUACUCAAAGGGUCGUGCUAACCUACCGGAUGACAAGUUAACAAACAAGUGGGAGGUUAGAAACCACCAAACAAAUGUAUGAAAGUUUUAUAGGUUACCGGGUGAGUUGGUGUUAUCCAUCAUAAUAGAUGUAUAUGUAUGUACGUUCCAAAAAUCCAGAAUUUGCAGCACACGAACAAACACACAUUGGCUGACAAUGGGCUACACAAUAUCCUGUGCUGGAACAAACACACAUUGGCUGACAAUGUACGUUCCAAAUCUAGAAUUUUUUUAUGCUAUAGAUCCAAGUUUUAGAUUAUUUAUUAACCAAGAAAAGAGUUCCAUAGCACCUCUACUCGGAUCGAAACACC